ensembl:processed_transcript
AGAUUUCACGAGCUCUGCGUAAACAGAAGGAGGGACACCAACACCAGUCAAAAAAGAUAUCAUGUUGCUCCGACAUACACAUCCAGUGUCUACAAAACAUGCAACCAGUGAAGGGAAGCGUGUGGCUACUGUGGAUUUCACUCAGGUAACGUUCAUGUUCCUGUUUCAAACAUUCCAAAAAAGGACCAAAAAAGACGUUAAAAAAAAAAAAAACAUGGUUCGCAACUUAAAGAUCCAAUCAUAAUCAGCUUUCCGACCUCAAAGCUAUAAAACAAACUGAACCAUACUUCGAAAUACAGUACUUUGGAUAAAUGUACAGUAUAUGGAUCUUGUCGACAAUAUACAAAUGAGCAC